CACCCUUGGUAAGGGUGAGGUCGGCGGUUCAAAUCCGCCCACGAGCUCCA
rnacentral:tRNA from 1 species